GGAAUCGCUAGUAAUCGCGAAUCAGCAUGUCGCGGUGAAUACGUUCCCGGGUCUUGUACACACCGCCCGUCACACCAUGGGAGUCAGCAACGCCCGAAGUCAGUGACCUAACCGAGAGGAAGGAGCUGCCGAAGGCGGGGCAGGUAACUGGGGUGAAGUCGUAACAAGGUAUC
rnacentral:rRNA from 1 species